AUGGCGAGGGAUCUGGAGGAGGAAGGGUGUAGCGAGAGGGAGAGAGAGAAUGAGGGGGAGCGCGAGGGCAAGUGGGGAGAAUGGGUGGAGCAGUGGGAGGAGCCUAAGGGGGCAGGGGUCCUUAUCCUCCCUCGUCGACGCCGGCGAGGGGGUUCGGCGGAGGUGAGGGAGGCGCAGCGCGCGAUUGGACCGGCGACGGUGCUGGCCAUCGGCACGGCGACGCCACCCAACUGCGUGUACCAGGCAGACUAUCCGGACUACUACUUCAGGGUCACAAAGAGCGAGCACCUGGUCGACCUCAAGGCCAAGUUCAAGAGGAUGUGUGACAAGUCACAUAUCCGGAAGAGAUACAUGCACCUGACGGAGGAGAUGCUUGAGGUGAACCCCAGCAUGUGCACGUUCAUGGCGCCGUCGUUGAGCGCACGUCGGGCCAUCGCUGUCCCCCUGGUCCCAAAGCUCGGAAAGGAGGCCGCAGAGAAGGCGAUCAGGGAAUGGGGGCAGCCUCUGUCCAGCAUCACCCACCUCAUCUUCUGCAGCACCUCCGGAGUGGACUUGCCAGGCGCCGACUUCCACCCGACAAAGAUGCUCGGCCUGCGUCCGUCAGUGAAGCGUUUCAUGAUGUACCAGCAGGGCUGCUUCACCGGCGGCAUGGUGCUCCGUCUGGCCAAGGACCUGGCCGAGAACAACCGCGGAGCACGCAUGCUGGUGGUCUGCUCGGAGAACAUGGUCAUGACCUUCCAUGGCCCGGACGAGUCCCACCUCGACUUGCUGGUAGGCCAGGUGCUCUUCGGCGACGGCGCGGCAGCCGUGGUCGUGGGGGCGGACCCCGACGAGCCCAUGGAGCGGCCGCUGUUCUAG
rnacentral:rRNA from 1 species